rnacentral:rRNA from 5 species
UCUGGCGGCAGUAGCGCGGUGGUCCCACCUGACCCCAUGCCGAACUCAGAAGUGAAACGCCGUAGCGCCGAUGGUAGUGUGGGGUCUCCCCAUGCG